ACCUCAAAUUGCUAUUUUAUACACAUGGUGCAAAGAGGAAUGAUCAAUGGGAACUUGGAAACUCCUCGUUUACAGGAAUCCUGGAGAAGCUGCGCCGAACAUUUCUGCUCUCCCACUCUCCUGGGACUUGCUGUUUUCAGAGAUCAGCUGAGGUGAACCUGCUUGAAAAACAUGGUCCACCCUUGUCUGGAACAUCCGUGCAGUGCAGCUCUCAUGUUUGCCAGCGCAGAGGUUUAGUG